rnacentral:rRNA from 1 species
GACGAACGCUGGCGGCGUGCUUAACACAUGCAAGUCGAACGGGCCUGUCUUCUUUUUUGGGGGUGGGUUGAGUGGCGAACGGGUGAGUAUCACGUGAGUAACCUGCCCUUCGGUCCUGGAUAACCGCUUGAAAGGGCGGCUAAUACGGGGUGGUCCGGUUGGUCCGCAUGGGCUGGUCGGGAUAGAUUCACUGUUUUUGGUGUUUCGGCGGGGGAUGGGCUCGCGGCCUAUCAGCUUGUUGGUGGGGUGAUGGCCUACCAAGGCGGUGACGGGUAGCCGGCCUGAGAGGGUGGGCGGCCACACUGGGACUGAGAUACGGCCCAGACUCCUGCGGGAGGCAGCAGUGGGGGGGAUUGCACAGUGGGCGGAAGCCUGAUGCAGCGACGUCGCGUGAGGGAUGGAGGCCUUCGGGUUGUGAACCUCUGUUUCCGGUGGUGAAGGCCCUGUCCGUGUGGUGGGGUUGACGGUAGCCGGGGAUGAAGCGCCGGCUAACUACGUG